UGCAUAUCAAUAAGCGCGGAGGAAAAGAAACCAACCGGGAUUGCCUCAGUAGCGGCGAGUGAAGCGGCAAGAGCUCAGAUUUGAAAUCGUGCUUUGCGGCACGAGUUGUAGAUUGCAGGUUGGAGUCUGUGUGGAAGGCGGUGUCCAAGUCCCUUGGAACAGGGCGCCCAGGAGGGUGAGAGCCCCGUGGGAUGCCGGCGGAAGCAGUGAGGCCCUUCUGACGAGUCGAGUUGUUUGGGAAUA
rnacentral:rRNA from 1 species